GGGGUGAGGACAGUGUCUGGUGGGUAGUUUGACUGGGGCGGUCUCCUCCCAAAGAGUAACGGAGGAGCACGAAGGUUAGCUAAUCACGGUCGGACAUCGUGAGGUUAGUGCAAAGGCAUAAGCUAGCUUGACUGCGAGAGUGACGGCUCGAGCAGGUACGAAAGUAGGUCUUAGUGAUCCGGUGGUUCUGAAUGGAAGGGCCAUCGCUCAACGGAUAAAAGGUACUCCGGGGAUAACAGGCUGAUACCGCCCAAGAGUUCAUAUCGACGGCGGUGUUUGGCACCUCGAUGUCGGCUCAUCACAUCCUGGGGCUGAAGUAGGUCCCAAGGGUAUGGCUGUUCGCCAUUUAAAGUGGUACGCGAGCUGGGUUUAGAACGUCGUGAGACAGUUCGGUCCCUAUCUGCCGUGGGCGUUGGAAGAUUGAGAGGGGUUGCUCCUAGUACGAGAGGACCGGAGUGAACGCACCACUGGUGUUCGGGUUGUCAUGCCAAUGGCAUUGCCCGGUAGCUAAGUGCGGAAAAGAUAAGCGCUGAAAGCAUCUAAGCGCGAAACUUGCCUCAAGAUGAGUCUUCCCUGGGCCUUUAAGGCCCCUGAAGGAACGUUUAAGACUAAGACGUUGAUAGGCUGGGUGUGUAAGUGCAGCGAUGCAUUGAGCUAACCAGUACUAAUGAUCCGUGAGGCUUAACCUUACAACACCGAAGGUGUUU
rnacentral:rRNA from 1 species